rnacentral:rRNA from 1 species
CGACGGGUGAGUAACACGUAUGCAAUCCACCUGUAACAGGGGAUAACCCGGAGAAAUCCGGACUAAUACCCCAUAAUAUGGGCGCUCCGCAUGGAGAGUCCAUUAAAGAGAGCAAUCUUGGUUACAGACGAGCAUGCGCUCCAUUAGCCAGUUGGCGGGGUAACGGCCCACCAAAGCGACGAUGGAUAGGGGUUCUGAGAGGAAGGUCCCCCACAUUGGAACUGAGACACGGUCCAA